AAUAGCUCUAUUUGAGGAAACCGUUACUCGAAGUCUUUAGCAUCCGUGAACAACACUUCUGUUAUUUCAUCGCAUGAGUGGUAGGAUGUUAAGCUCAACUGCGGCUGUUUCUCUAAAUACGAAUGCAGGCAUGAGAGAAGCAGUGAGGAGGACGAUUCAAUGGAUGAAGACUCGGCUAGCUCUGCCAGCAGUAGCAGUAAGAAAGAUUCUAAAGGGAUAGCUUCAAGAAAGAGAGGGACAAAACUUUUUGCUAUUCACAUGCUCGAGAAAAACUAUGAAAGAAAGUCAGACCGGAAGGAAAGGGAGCUCCAGCUAAAAGCAGAAGAGCUUGAACUCCAGAGGAGGAGGUUUAAUGCUGAAGUUAAUGAAAGAAAGGAGAAACUCAAACUGGAAAUGGAAGAGAGAAGAAUGUUUUUAAAUUUCUUGAAGGAUAGGUUGUAACUCAUUGGUUAUCGAUUGUUACUGUUGUUGUGUUUGUAACCCAGGGCCAGGUUGUUUGAAGUAUAGACAUAACCAAGGGUUACCAAUUUGAAGCUUUAAACUAAUAAUGAACUGAAACUCUUUGCAAAGAGGUUUUGUCUGACAGUUCAAAUCAACUAACUUACAGUUUACAAUCAGAUAUAAUGUGCAUUUUUUUGUAUACUUUA